CAAAUAUUAAAAAUCAUUUCACUUUAUUUUUAGUCCAAUGGUUUGACAACUGUUUUCUCUGAAAGCAAAAACUGCAAGCUUACAAAUGAUGCCGAAUUUGAGGUAGAAGAAUAUUUAAUUGCUGAAAAAUAUUUCCCUGUGUAUUUCAGUGCUUAUGAGUUCUUUUCCCUGUCCAAGAACUUCCUGACAACUGUUUUUGGAUCAAUCUUUACUUACCUGAUAAUUCUCGUUCAAUUAACUGCAGAUCCAUGUUGGUUGCCAAAGAAAGAAAAUCAAGCAAAAUAGAACAUGCUUUCACACAUUUUUUUCCCUUCAAUUUUGAUUUUAAGUGUUUUACACCUACUGUAAUAUGUAUAUGUACAUUUGAAAUAAAUCAAUUAUGCAAUUAA